rnacentral:rRNA from 1 species
UACGAAGGGUGCAAACGUUGCUCGGAAUUAUUGGGCGUAAAGCGCACGUAGGCGGCUUAGCAAGUCGGAUGUGAAAUCCCUCGGCUCAACCAAGGAAGUGCAUCCGAAACUGCUGAGCUUGAGUACGAAAGAGGAUCGCGGAAUACCCGGUGUAGAGGUGAAAUUCGUAGAUAUCGGGAGGAACACCAGUGGCGAAGGCGGCGAUCUGGGUCGAUACUGACGCUGAGGUGCGAAAGCGUGGGGAGCAAACAGG